UGGGGAAGUAUUGCACAAUGGGCGGCAAGCCUGAUGCAGCCAUGCCGCGUGUAUGAAGAAGGCCUUCGGGUUGUUAAAGAUACUUUUCAGCGGGGAGGAAGGCGAUAAGGUUAAUAACCUUGUCGAUUGACGUUACCCGCAGAAGAAGCACCGGCUAACUCCGUGCCAGCAGCCGCGGUAAUACGGAGGGUGCAAGCGUUAAUCGGAAUUACUGGGCGUAAAGCGCACGCAGGCGGUCUGUCAAGUCGGAUGUGAAAUCCCCGGGCUCAACCUGGGAACUGCAUUCGAAACUGGCAGGCUGGAGUCUUGUAGAGGGG
rnacentral:rRNA from 1 species